CGUGAACGCUGGCGGUAGGCCUAACACAUGCAAGUCGAACGGCAGCACAGUACUAUCUUGCUCUUACGGGUUGCGAAUGGCGGACGUGUGACGAGUACAUCCUAAUCUACUUUUUCGUGGGGGAUCACGUAGGGAAACUUACUCUAAUACCGCAUACGACCUACGGGUGAAAGCAGGGGAUCUUCUGACCUUGCGCGAUUGAAUGAGCCGAUGUCGGAUUAGCUAGUUGGCGGGGUAAAGGCCCACCAAGGCGACGAUCCGUAGCUGGUCUGAGAGGAUGAUCAGCCACACUGGAACGGGACCAGGGUCCUGAGGCCUACGGGAGGGAGCAGACGGGAAUAUUGGACAAUGGUCGCAAGCCUGGUCCAGCCAUACCGCGUGGGUGGAGGAGGCCUUGCGGUUGUAAAGCCCUUUUGUGGGGAAAGAAAAGCAGCAGGUUAAGACCCCGCUGUUGUGACGGUACCCAAAGAAUAAGCACCGGCUAACUUCGUG
rnacentral:rRNA from 1 species